rfam:Chlorocebus sabaeus isolate 1994-021 chromosome 9, whole genome shotgun sequence.
GCUGGGUGUGGUGGUGCACAUCUGUAAUCCCAGUUACUCGGGAAGCUGAGGCAGGAGAAUCACUUGAACCCAGGAGGUGGAGGUUGCAGUGAACUGCUACUGCAUUCCAGCCUGGGUGACAGAGAGAGACUCUGUCUCAA